rnacentral:lncRNA from 1 species
ACUCUGACUACGACUGUAAAGCAUGGCAAGAAGUGCUGCCUCGUGGGUGGGUGUGGCCAUUGGUGCGUGAACGUGUGAAUAAUCCCUACAGGACACGACAACGGAUUACCUUUGGAAACAGACGAUCCUGGUUUAACUUCUACUUGAUUUUAUGUGAUGUCGACUUGUUCAGAUGUAUUUGCAAAAAAGAAAUAAAA